rnacentral:rRNA from 1 species
AGUGAACGCUGGCGGUAGGCCUAACACGUGCAAGUCGAACGUCAGCACAGUAAGAGCUUGCUCUUACGGGUGGCGAGUGGCGGACGGGUGAGGAAUACAUCGGAAUCUACUUUUUCGUGGGGGAUAACGUAGGGAAACUUACGCUAAUACCGCAUACGACCUACGGGUGAAAGCAGGGGAUCUUCGGACCUUGCGCGAUUGAAUGAGCCGAUGUCGGAUUAGCUAGUUGGCGGGGUAAAGGCCCACCAAGGCGACGAUCCGUAGCUGGUCUGAGAGGAUGAUCAGCCACACUGGAACUGAGACACGGUCCAGACUCCUACGGGAGGCAGCAGUGGGGAAUAUUGGACAAUGGGCGCAAGCCUGAUCCAGCCAUACCGCGUGGGUGAAGAAGGCCUUCGGGUUGUAAAGCCCUUUUGUUGGGAAAGAAAAGCAGCAGGUUAAUACCCCGCUGUUCUGACGGUACCCAAAGAAUAAGCACCGGCUAACUUCGUG